rnacentral:rRNA from 1 species
UACAGAGGGGCAAGCGUUGUUCGGAAUUACUGGGCGUAAAGGGCGCGUAGGCGGCCUGCUAAGUCGAACGUGAAAUCCCCGGGCUCAACCCGGGAACUGCGUCCGAUACUGGCAGGCUUGAAUCCGGGAGAGGGAUGCGGAAUUCCAGGUGUAGCGGUGAAAUGCGUAGAUAUCUGGAGGAACACCGGUGGCGAAGGCGGCAUCCUGGACCGGCAUUGACGCUGAGGCGCGAAAGCCAGGGGAGCAAACGGG